AUGUACCACUCGUGUACUGCGGUUCUGAGCGCGCCGUCUGCGCCCACCUGACGACUGCUCACUACGUUUUGUUAGCC
rnacentral:sRNA from 2 species